rnacentral:rRNA from 1 species
UNUGACUUGAGUGCAGAAGGGGAGAGUGGAAUUCCAUGUGUAGCGGUGAAAUGCGUAGAUAUAUGGAGGAACACCAGUGGCGAAAGCGGCUCUCUGNUCUGUCACUGACGCUGAGGCUCGAAAGCGUGGGUAGCGAACAGGAUUAGAUACCCUGGUAGUCCACGCCGUAAACGGUGAGUGCUAGGUGUUAGGCCCUUUCCGGGGCUUAGUGCCGGAGCUAACGCAAUAAGCACUCCGCCUGGGGAGUACGACCGCAAGGUUGAAACUCAAAGGAAUUGACGGGGGCCCGCACAAGCGGUGGAGCAUGUGGUUUAAUUCGAAGCAACGCGAAGAACCUUACCAGGUCUUGACAUCCCGAUGCUAUUCUUAGAGAUAGGAAGUUACUUCGGUACAUCGGAGGCAGGUGGUGCAUGGUUGUCGUCAGCUCGUGUCGUGAGAUGUUGGGUUAAGUCCCGCAACGAGCGCAACCCUUAUUGUUAGUUGCCAUCAUUAAGUUGGGCACUCUAGCGAGACUGCCGGUAAUAAACCGGAGGAAGGUGGGGAUGACGUCAAAUCAUCAUGCCCCUUAUGACCUGGGCUACACACGUGCUACAAUGGUCGGUACAACGAGUUGCGAGCCGGUGACGGCAAGCUAAUCUCUGAAAGCCGAUCUCAGUUCGGAUUGGAGGCUGCAACUCGCCUCCAUGAAGUCGGAAUCGCUAGUAAUCGCGGAUCAGCACGCCGCGGUGAAUACGUUCCCGGGCCUUGUACACACCGCCCGUCACACCACGAGAGUUUGUAACACCCGAAG